AUGACGACCUCGUCACCUUGGCUACCAGCUCGUCACCUUGGCUACCAGCUCAUCACCUCCAGCUCGUCACCUUGGCUACCAGCUCGUCACCUUGGCUACCAGCUCGUCCACCUUGGCUACCAGCUCGUCCACCUUGGCUACCAGCUCGUCCACCUUAGUGACCAGCUCGUCCACCUUGGCUAUCAGCUUGUCCACCUUGGCGACCAGCUCGUCCACCUUGGCGAACCAGCUCGUCCACCUUGGCGAACCAGCUCGUCCACCUUGGCGACCAGCUUGUCGACCUUGGCGACCAGCUCAUCCACCUUGGCGACCAGCUCGCGCUGCCGGCUCUCAUGGCUAAAGCCCUCCACCAGUGACAUGCAGGCCUUUGUUAAGCAGCAGAGCAUGUGGAAACUGAGUCAGGGUGAGCAGGGUGCACCAGGGCCAUGUGACUACAGGCGCUGCCUCGCUCUAGGGCCUUCAUGGAGAGCAGCUGGCUGA
rnacentral:lncRNA from 13 species